rnacentral:misc_RNA from 1 species
AAGUUGAGAGAAAAUGGCUUAAUUGUUUAGAGAGAAAAUGAUGAGAUUUUAAAAUGAACAAGUCAAGAUAGUUUUUUUGCCCAGAAAAUGGUUUCCUUUUACUGCAUUUCAUGUGAAAGAUGUAGAAAAAAGGCAAAGAUUCUCUGUUGGAAAAGUAAUGGCCUUUACGGUCAUUACAUAACGGUCUGUAGUGGCCAUUAUGUUUAUACAACAGCCAGCUAAAAUCCCUUUAAAUAACGAUUGUUAUGUUAUGUAACGGCUGUUAUUUAAAA